UGGGGAAUAUUGCACAAUGGGCGCAAGCCUGAUGCAGCCAUGCCGCGUGUGUGAAGAAGGCCUUCGGGUUGUAAAGCACUUUCAGCGAGGAGGAAGGUGGUGAGCUUAAUACGCUCAUCAAUUGACGUUACUCGCAGAAGAAGCACCGGCUAACUCCGUGCCAGCAGCCGCGGUAAUACGGAGGGUGCAAGCGUUAAUCGGAAUUACUGGGCGUAAAGCGCACGCAGGCGGUUUGUUAAGUCAGAUGUGAAAUCCCCGGGCUCAACCUGGGAACUGCAUUUGAAACUGGCAAGCUAGAGUCUCGUAGAGGGGGGUAGAAUUCCAGGUGUAGCGGUGAAAUGCGUAGAGAUCUGGAGGAAUACCGGUGGCGAAGGCGGCCCCCUGGACGAAGACUGACGCUCAGGUGCGAAAAGCGUGGGGCAGCAAACAGGAUUAGAUACCCUGGUAGUCCACGCUGUAAAACGAUGUCGAUUUGGAGGUUGUGCCCUUGAGGCGUGGCUUCCGGAGCUAACGCGUUAAAUCGACCGCCUGGGGAGUACGGCCGCAAGGUUAAAACUCAAAUGAAUUGAC
rnacentral:rRNA from 1 species